CUUCCUGAUUCUUGAAAAUUACGUCAACAAAAGACAAUUCUACAACCAUUUAAAGUUUGAUUAAAUUUUGGACAAAUGUGUUUGUUUUAAUUUGGUUCACGCUAAAAAUAAACGUAUAUAUACUGGGCAAGUGCUGAAUUUUAUCGUGAAUGACAGUGAUUAUCCAAAGUUUGAAUUUGGUUCGGACACGUUUGACGGGAAUUCGGAUGACCGUUACAGUAAAAAGACAGUUUCCAACCGUUCAUCUAUACCUACUACACCUGUCCAGGUAAAAACUUCAGAUUCAUCCAACGCAGCGGAUCAUGAAAUUCCUGUCCCGAUGAGGCAACAAGGGCAUGCUUGUGGUGGAGGCCUUGGUCGCCGAUGAGUCAAUGUUCAUGGACAGUAGGAUGACGCUAAAAUUAACCUGACUGACAUUUAAAUGUGCUUCAUGCAAUCCCGUGAGUUUUACCAUUCACACAAAAACAUCAAACAAGCCGGAUUGUGUAUAUUUUGUAAAUAUUAGUCAAAAAGGAUAAAAAAAAUGGUGCCUGACUGUGUGAUUGGAAAAAGGUAUUAAUCACGCUUUGUGUUGCGAAUAAAUGUAGAUUUUUUAGAUGUUCAUGUGUUUAUUUAAACUAUAUAUAUAUGAAGACAUUCAAGUGUUAAAUAUUUAUGCUGAUUGGGGUUUUUUUAUGAAAAAAUAUUGCAUAUUCUUGUAUUUUCUUGAAAUACUUUUUUGCCAUAUAUGAAAACUGACACAAUCAGUAUUUGCAGUACAAAAGAAGUAAAAGCGUCUUGUAUUUAUGUAUAUGUUUUAUAUUACUUGUCUAAAUUUGAAUAAGAUAUCUAAAAAAUUAAGGAAAAUCUGCAAAUUUAAAAAAAUAGGCAUUAAAUUCUGAGAAAGCCUAAAAUCAAACUGGCGCUGGCAUGAAUUUUCUGUGACAUAUUUUCAGCUGAAAUGAUUUACAAUAAGGUGUAGGAUUUUUGUAAAUUCUCUUCCAGAACUUAGAUGGCUACCAAGGCCAAUCAUGUAGUCAAAGCAAGAGUGAUACAUGUAGCUGUAGUUUAUAUUUGACUGCAAAUGCCUAUAUUCAUUUUGUGAGUUAUUUUUCAAGUCACCUUGUCUAGUCAUUUCCAUGGCAUGAGAUAUGACAAUGUAUUUUAAUAGAUAAUUAUUUUUAACCAAGUUUUCCUAAGGAAAAGUGGAAAAUCUAGUUAAUAGAUUUGGAUAUGCCAUGUGCAGGCAGGUGGCUGUGACCAUUGGCGCUUGUGUCCAGGCUUUUACUUAGCCAUGCAUAGGGUUUUUUGAAAAAACUUUUCAAAAAGGUUUAAAAAACUGGAAAACUGUGGUUUUGAGUUCUCUCAUUUAUGAAAUAGUUUAAAGAAAUACAUUUGCUUGAUCUCAAAUAGCAUUUGUUUGAUCUCAAAACUAAUAUUUGUAUAGAAUUAUCUUUUAGUGUUAUCAUUCUUUCACUGGAUGUUAUCCUUGUUUGUUUAGUUAAUAAGUGAAUAAAAUGUGAGCAAAAGUGAGUUAAAUCACUAUA